rnacentral:misc_RNA from 1 species
UCUCUCUCUCUCUCUCUCUGUUCACUAUCCUUUGGCUAGACCCAGUGGCUUGUGACCCUUCAGCGAUCAUCAGUAGCACUGGCGCAAGUUCAAUAGGCAAUGAACAGCGGCAACCAAUGUGCUUUUCCGAUGAAACGUGUAAGGGGAAAUCGAAUGAUUUUUCACUAUUUUCUGGCGAUUUUGACAUCGGAUAGAAGCCAAACCACCGACGUUCAACUCCUUUUCCUCUGGGUUACUAGAUCCAAACAACCCUGCUUUCUAUCAUUGCUAGAAUCAACAAAUCAAGGAGAGAGAAAUAGAAACUUCUAUGGCCAAUUUUGACCAAUUCGACCAUUGAAUCGACGAUUUGAGAUCAUCGAUGGACUUAGACGAAACCUUCAAGAUGAUACCAACUCCACUCCGAUCGCACACCAUUUGAAAAAGACUAUUAUUAGACGAUCCAAAUCUCUUGGUGUGAUCGGAUCGACUAUAGCUCACUAGCAUUUGGGAUUGAGUUUUUGGGUCGGGCUGUCUUGGAAGGUGGUCGUGUUUAUAGUCGUUUUCAGUAUUUUCAAAUAUUCCGAACACGUUCCAAGUAGUAGAAUCUGCAAUGGUAGUCCCUAACUCAUAUUGUGUAGUUUUUGUCUUAAUUAAACUAGCUAUUUGAAUCUGUAAAAUAUUCUUAAUUGAGUAAAAUUAAGUAAAAUGAA